rnacentral:rRNA from 1 species
CCGUCUUGAAACACGGACCAAGGAGUCUAACAUGUGCGCGAGUCAUUGGGUCGCACUAAACCCAAAGGCGCAAUGAAAGUGAAGGCAGUCUCGGGUUUGCCUAGGUAGGAUCUUUUUUUCUCUUUUGAGAGAAGGCGCACUACCGGCCCGUCUCGUCCGCGUUGCGGUGAGGCGGAGCGAGAGCGCACACGUUGGGACCCGAAAGAUGGUGAACUAUGCCUGAGUAGGACGAAGCCAGAGGAAACUCUGGUGGAAGUCCGUAGCGAUUCUGACGUGCAAAUCGAUCGUCGAACUUGGGUAUAGGGGCGAAAGACUAAUCGAACCGUCUAGUAGCUGGUUCCUUCCGAA